AAAAUUUCACGUGGAAUGACUUUGGUGAAUGAAAUAAGGGAAGCCAGACAAAAGAAAAAAAGUGAAGCCAUAAAUAGAUUUUAUAUUCCCAAAUUUAGGAGUUUCUUUCUUUUUCUUUUUUCUUGAAACUAUUUCCUUCAAAUUAUUUUAUUUCUAAAUAAAUAUUAGAGCUGGGUUUUUAAGUAAAGUGGUGAUUAUAAGCACAUUAACAUUUCUACCAGACAGCAGAGAUAGUGCUGGCCUGUCGACCCAAAUCAGAAUGCAAUGCAACACAGAGCCCCUGGCCUCUGCAGUGCGUCACACUCCCUCCGUCUUCCAGUGAGGGGAAUAACCUCCCUUUCUGCUGCGAACUUUCAUUUAGGUCAACAACGUGGUGCUGCAAACUGAGAGGUGUGCUUUUAUUUUGGGGCUUCUCAGUUCCAGAUUUCAAAGCCAAAGCAAUGGCAUGGUCUACAAGGGGACUUUAAAUAAAGUCAAACAGAAUCAGAUUCCCUUACUAAUGGUUAUUCCAAACUGCCUUGUCCAGAUGGCUUCUUACAGGGAAAGGGAAGAAAAGGGGGUACUCAUGCUCUGCUUCCUUUCAUGCUGGCGGGCAGUGAUUAUUGUUAAUGACCCACAGCUGUGCUAGCUACCCCACAACCUCUACCCUCUGCUCACCCCCAUUUUCUCGCUUCCUUCUUAUUUAAGCUUUUCUCCAGCAAGACUUGCACAGAGGGAGGUGGGAGUAAGUUUUAUGAUGGAUCAACUGUCAAGACUCACCCUGAAUCUGGCUUCUAAUGAAACCUGAACACAGCAGUGGGCUCUACUCCAAAGCUUAUAGCUCUGCAAAACCAGGUUCAGCAUUAUUAUUUGCACAGCUUUUAUCAACCAUGAUACAGCAGAACUUUCCACAAGAACACAUAAUAAGUGGUAUAAAGAUAGGUCCCCAGUGCAAGAAAACACACAAGGUGCAGAACGCAUUCACUAAGUGGGAUAAAAUUCUGCAUUUGCAGUGUGGUCUAGUAAUGCUCAGUGGCCCAGAGUAUACAAAAAGUCUUUUCUGAGUUCUCACUGGCAUAUAUCCGAUGCUUCCUGAUGGAUAUAUAAAUGAAAAAAAUAGUGUUAUCUUAAAGUAGCACUGAGUGGAGGUGACAUUUAACAGACAUGUAUGCAAAAGUGACUUAAUACAUAGUGAUACUGCAUUAAUAAUAUUUUGAAAAACGUAAGGGAAAUGGAAGGAGUGCUUCAUGGAGGAAUCACAAUUUGAGGAGAGAUACAUAAUUAGGAGGUAGUCAGAGAAAGAUGAUAAAUAUAGGUGAUUAGAGGAUAAAUGUAAAUUCAGAUUAGGAGAUAAGAAAGGGGAUUGGUGAAGAGGAUUAUAGCGUGCACUGGCAGGGGGAAAGAGUGGCAACCAAGGAAAGAAUUAAACCGGGCAAGAUUUGAUGAUAUUAGACUGUCAUUUUAUUCUGUGCACAAUGGAAAGCCACCAAAACAAGUUUUAAGCAAGGGCAAGAUAUGAUCAGAUUUAUCUUCAGUAAGAUAAUUCUAGUAGGAAUCUGGAGGUUUGAUUGGUUAGGACUGUGUGGAGAUAGAGAAUCUUCAUGAAGCUGUUACUAUAAGCAAAUCACAAAGCAUGGGCACGUGCAUAGUUGCUAACUGGCAAAACUCUCUGUUUCCAAAACUCAGCUCCUCCAGUUUUUUAACUACGUGGUGUUAGUAUGUUACUUACUCUCUAUUAGUCUUAAUUUACCUAUCUCUGAAUUGAGAAUGAGAAUAUCGAUUUCAUUGAUUUAUUGUGAGGAUUAAAUGAGGUAAUGAUUAUAGCAUGCUUAGAACUCUAUAAGCAUUCACUAAAUUUAAGUCACCAUCAAAAAUUUAUUAGGGUUAUCGAGGUAGCAAGGGAGAUUAGGAUAUGAUUUUGAGAGUUCAGUAGUGUGAAUAAAAAGGAUCUGACAGAGGAAAAAAAAAGAUAGAGGUCAAAGAUGAGUCCAAAUUUGGAGAUGUGAUGUUUUAUACUGUGAGAUAAGAUAUAGGAUAUUUCCAGCAUGAUAAGUAUGAUAAGUCUGGUGCAGGGAACAGAGGAAAUUAUGUUCUAUUUAAGACUUUUUAAGAUUGAGGUAGCUAAUGAUAAAACUGAAGCUUUCAUGAAUUAGUUGGAAAUUUGAGACUCGUACCUUGGAAGAAAGACUGAAACAGCAGAUGAAAAUGUAUUGAUUUAAAAGGUACAUGUGAAGACAUAGCUACUUAAGAAGAAGUAUUUUACAAAAGGUGAAGGUAACUGAGGAAGCAACCAUAAAUAAACUCUUAGAGAUGGGUAAACAAGGAGAUGAAAAACCAUAUUUAGAAAGGCAAUAAGAGAAAUAAGAACAAGCAGAGUCACAGAGACCAAGGAUAAAUAACCUUAACAAAUUAGAGAUGGUUCAGUAGCACUGAAGCAGUUAAGCCUGCUUCAUUAUAGAUUGAAAUAAAGCCAUUGGUUCAGUAAUCGUGAAGAAAGACUCUGGUGACCUCAAGAGGGUUGUUUUGUUGGAAGAAGUCUAUAUUACUGCAGUACAAAAAUAAAUGAAAUGUUAAAAAAGAAGAUGGUAGGAAUGGGGACUGAUUUUUCUUUUCAAAAUCAAACUAUUUAAGUGUAAGUUAAUUAUAGUAAAGGAGAAAUUAGCGGAGACACCAGUUUGUAGUUGAGGUAGUAUUUUAAAAUAUUUUUUGUAUGGGAGAUAUUUGAGUAUGAUUAGAGCCUGAGUAGAAGAUAAAGUAGAGAAAUAAAUAUCAGAAUCAUGGAUAAAUGAGAAAUACACAUGUCAUGCCUAAAGUUGGAGGAAGUUCACAGUACUUUUGGCAAUGGUGAUCUAGGGAUUCAGAAUAAACCUCCUGAAAAUAAGCUAGAUACUCUGUGGGAGUGAUGGGGUGAUAUUCUUUGCAUUUACAUGUCUUGGGGGCCAUAGUACUUCCCAAAUCUAUGGAUUGAUGUCUUUUAUCAAGGUUGGAAAACCACACCUUCAUGGUAAAAUUGUUGAAAACUAAGACAAAAAACAAAGCUAAAAUCUGACAGAGAGAGAAAGGGAAGACAUAUUAUCUUCCAAACACCAAUUAUUGACUUCUAUAUAGAAACAAUGAAAGCCAGUGAAAAAUUGAAUGAUAAAUUUAAAGGGCAGAAAAUAACACAAUUGUCAACUUAGAAUUGUUAAAAUAAAAUUCUACAUAAAACUAUACCUCAAAAAUGAAUGUAAAUUAAAAGCAUAUUCAGACAACAAAAGCAAAUAAUUUGUUGUUAGCAGAUCUGAAAUUUAGAAAUACUAAAAGGAAUGUUCAGGCAGAAGAAUAUGAUCCCAGAUAAAUGCUCAGAGAUUUAGGAAGGCUUAAACAAUAUUGAAAAAAGUAAAUAGGUAACUAAAUCUAAAUUUAAAAAUAAUUUCUGAGGAGCUGCAAG
rnacentral:lncRNA from 10 species